CGGGGUGUAGCGCAGUCUGGUAGCGCGUCCUGAUCACUGUCCUGCUCCUGCAGCCGCGGUAAUGCGGACGGUGGUUGUUAAGGGAAGGUCGGCAGUUCAAAUCUGUUCACCCCGACCA
rnacentral:tRNA from 1 species